UAUUGCCCAAUGGGGGAAACCCUGAGGCAGCAACGCCGCGUGGACGAAGACGGCCUUCGGGUUGUAAAGUCCUUUUCUGAGGGACGAUGAGGACGGUACCUCAGGAAUAAGUUACGGCUAACUACGUGCCAGCAGCCGCGGUAAAACGUAGGGGACAAGCGUUAUCCGGAUUUACUGGGCGUAAAGAGCCCGUAGGCGGUCAGCUAAGUUGGACGUGAAAGCUCCCGGCUUAACUGGGAGAGGUCGGACAAAACUGGCAGACUUGAGGCUGAGAGAGGCGAGCGGAAUUCCCGGUGUAGUGGUGGAAUGCGUAGAUAUCGGGAGGAACACCAGUGGCGAAGGCGGCUCGCUGGCUCAGACCUGACGCUGAGGGGCGAAAGCGUGGGGAGCGAACGGG
rnacentral:rRNA from 1 species